GAUAAAACCAUGUUCUUGAAAAUUGAAUAUUCGGAGGUAGGCAAAAAGGGAAACCUUUACGAGGAGGUCAAUUCAACGUGUUGACGUGUUCCACGUAACAAUCGUAUCAUCACAUACCUGCCCAUGGGAGGCGACGGUAAUCAUAUGGUGAGCUCAUGGCCAGGGCCUUUCCGGUAAGUAAAAACCCCCAUACAAAUCCAGUCCAAAAUCGAAGGUGAGCCCAGCUGUCACCAAGACAACUUUAUUCAUCUCCAAUGGCGGGAAAACAAGAAGACCCAGAGAGAGGGGGAGAGGGAGAUGGACAUGGACAUGGACAUGGACAUGGAGAAAGUAGUGGCAGAAGCAGAGGAGCUGCCGAAGGCUAUUGUGUGCCGGAUGGUGAAGGAUGCUCUUUCACGCUGCUCCCCUGACGAGUCUGAGAGCCUUCAUUUUCAUCCACUAUCUUUCCGCCAUGGCUAAUGACAUGCAAGGAAUCAAAGAGGCAAACAAUGAACGCAGAUGAUGUGCUUAAAGCGGUCGAAGAGAUCGAGUUUCCUGAGUUUGUUGGCCCACUCAAAGCCUCCCUUAAUGAAAUGAAUUCCGAAAGGCAUGGGCUUGUGGUCUAAGGUUGCUUGACUACUUGUGUGUGGAUUUGUUGGGAAUGAUAGGUGGGUGGGUGCUGCAAAACCAUGCUUCACUUUGCAGCCUCAUGGCAUAUACAGGUCUGGUGUGAUCAAUUAGAUGAUGCGAAGGAGUUCGUCUGAAUUCAGAAAUAUGUGUAGUGCGAGAUAACUGAUGGAGUUUUAUAGAAUUGCAUGAAGGAUGUCAGAAAAACUUUCUGACAAAGAAUUCAGAUGUUUUCUGUGCUGUUGUAUACUUUAAGCGGUGGAAAGAAGAUAGGAUCACCGCAGACCAAAGAGGUGCAAGAGAAGAGGAACAUGGAAGAGUCAUCGAAGAAAAGUGGAGGUAAAAGCACACCAAAGAAAGGGGACACCAGUAAAAAAAAAUGAUGCUCCAUGAUAAUGCUCGAGCAACAUAAUUCUUACCUGCUGCUCGAAAUCCUAGUCUAUCUCACCUCUGGGAUGAAACUGACAGCGUACCAGCAUCUGCUAUUCAUAGCCUGAAAACAACUCUUACUCUUAUUUCUAUCCUCGUGUUUGCUAGAGAACUCAUCAGUAGGCUCCCUUUCCUUUUCUUUUUGUGAAAAAGAAAAUGGAAUAUCAUGCCACUGCUUGCUAGUUGUAGAAACUUGCCUUGUCACAGUUGAUUUCACGGCAAUGCGAAGGGAUGGUCAUGGCUCGCAUACACGAGCACGAUCUGUUAUGGUUAUAA